rnacentral:lncRNA from 1 species
CAACUCUCCUGGAGUUGAGGACUUCUGACAGGUGCUGGCCAGAUGGCAGCAUGGCCAGAGGGCAGCUCUGUCCACUGGGAGAACAUGUGGUGGCCCUGACUCAAAGCAGACCCGGGCUGGAGGUCACUGGCACUGAGGCAGAGGCACGUGGGCCCACUUGGGUCUGGAGCACUGCUUGAUUUGGCCAGGGCCAGGCUGGGACAUCCCUCUACAGUAACUCCAGGGAUGUCAAGUAGGACUUUACUAGCCCUUGCCGAGCCAAUGGGGUCCCUUCACUGGAAUGAGAUUCUUCCCUACAGUGAGACCCUGCUCAAGGCCCUACAAGCCACAUCCAGAAAGGGUCCCUGGUGAAGUACUCGGUGGGCCUCUGUUUCUCCAGGGUGGUUCACCUCCUUCACCCAGGGAAGCCAUAUCCCCACCUCUCACUGGAGGGGGAUCCAGUCCUCAAGCCACCAGCCAGACUGAGACAGUCCUUGUCCAUGGGACAACCUCCAGCUCAUGUCUGUCCUGCCUCAGUGGCCCAUGAACCAAUGUCUGCCUGAAUCAGGUGCACAUCAGAAGC